UACGUAGGGGGCAAGCGUUGUCCGGAAUUAUUGGGCGUAAAGCGCGCGCAGGCGGUCAUUUAAGUCUGGUGUUUAAUCCCGGGGCUCAACCCCGGAUCGCACUGGAAACUGGGUGACUUGAGUGCAGAAGAGGAGAGUGGAAUUCCACGUGUAGCGGUGAAAUGCGUAGAUAUGUGGAGGAACACCAGUGGCGAAGGCGACUCUCUGGGCUGUAACUGACGCUGAGGAGCGAAAGCGUGGGGAGCGAACAGG
rnacentral:rRNA from 1 species